rnacentral:rRNA from 1 species
CCCUUAGAUGUUCUGGGCCGCACGCGCGCUACACUGUUCGACGCAGCGAGUCUUAACCUUGACCGAAAGGUUUGGGUAAUCUUCAGCAAAGUCGAACGUGAUGGGGAUCGAUCAUUGCAAUUAUUGAUCGUGAACGAGGAAUUCCUAGUAAGUGCAAGUCAUCAGCUUGCGCUGAUUACGUCCCUGUCCUUUGUACACACCGCCCGUCGCUACUACCGAUUGAAUGGUUUAGUGAGAUCUCUGGAUUGACGCUGGCUAGGGGGCGACCCUUGGCCAGACUGUUGAGAAACUGCUCAAACUUGAUCAUUUAGAGGAAGUAAAAGUCGUAACA